GGCGCCAGCUCAGUGGCAGAACACCUGCUUUGCAUGCAGAAGGUCCCUAGUUCAAUCCCUGGCAUCUCCA